rnacentral:rRNA from 1 species
GCUAAGUUGUGGCCAGCAGCGGCGGGAGGACGAACCGUACGAAGGUGAGUCGGAAGGACGGGGCUUGAAGGGUGCGUAGGCGGCGCUGAAAGGUGGGUGUGAACUCCCGCGGCUUAACCGGGGAACUGCGCCCAAAACUACAGGGCUUGAGGGAGAUAGAGGUGAGCGGAACUUAGGGUGGAGCGGUGAAAUGCGUUGAUAUCCUAAGGAACGCCAGGGGCGAAAGCGGCUCACUGGGUCUCUUCUGACGCUGAGGCACGAAAGCUAGGGUAGCGAACGGGAUUAGAUACCCCAGUAGUC